rnacentral:rRNA from 1 species
AACGAGAUCUGUAGCAAUACAGAUACUCGUGGCGAACGGGUGCGUAACACGUGGAUAACCUUCCUUUAGGUGGGGAAUAACCCAGUGAAAAUUGGGCUAAUACCGCAUAACAAGACGAGGACACAAGCUCUUGUCUUCAAAGGCGCAAGUCGCCAGAAGAGGGAUCCGCGGCCGAUUAGCUUGUUGGCGGGGUAACGGCCCACCAAGGCAAUGAUCGGUAGCCGGACUGAGAGGUUGGCCGGCCACACUGGAACUGAGACACGGUCCAGACUCCUACGGGAGGCAGCAGUGGGGAAUCUUGCGCAAUGGACGAAAGUCUGACGCAGCAACGCCGCGUGGGGGAUGAAGCUUCUCGGA